AGCCAUAGAACAACGCAAAGUGGUCGUGGUGAGUGGUAGUGUUGUCUGCAGUGAGAGAGAGAGAGACAGAGAGAGAGAGAGGGGGGGGAGGGUCGAAUGGAAGGAGAAAAGAAGCCAUCGUCAUCUUCGAUUGCCGAUGAACUGUUAGACAUCAGGAAGAGUGCGGGGACGCCCGCCGAUUCCUCCUUUUCCUCUUCUUCUUCUUCCGCCUUGUCGCCCGGCUACUUCAGCAGUGUCUUCCCCACUGGUUCCACGGAGAUGUCUAAGGAUUCAGCAGAGAGUGACUUGUUCUGGACCUCCAGCGAGCGAAGGACAGAUGAUCUGAUCGGGAACGCUCAGGCCGCUGCAGCAGAUGGGAAAUCUCAGGGAAGUCCCAGCAGAAGGCAAACUACGUGGAGCAAGGAUGGUAAACUAGUCGAUCCCAAUCAAUCAGAAGAAUCGACCUACUUGUGCUCAUCUGUGCACUAUGGUGGUCGAGAUUUCUAUGUCAGCUCUCCUUCCAACCAAGUCUCUGGAGCUCCAAAAAGUGAUAAAAAAGCUGAUGAAGGGGAUGAUUCAGGUGACGCUAACAUUGCAAACAGAGGUGAAUGGUGGCAAGAGUCAAUAGGAUUGCAAAUUUCUGGAUGAAGCUUCAGCAGAUGACUGGCGCUAAGAAUGUUUAGGUUGCUGCUGCUUUUCAGUUAAGAAAGUAACCUUUGAAGAUUCAACAUACUUUGGAGUAUGUCGCCUUCUGUUUGACCCCUCCCAAAUCGUGUUUUACUGUGCAGUAUUUUAAAAACCAUUUGGUGCGAUGGAAUGUUCCUUCAUGUCUAUUUUUUUAUGACCAUAUUUCACAAGGUCAAUUCAGUUCCUAAAUUUGCUCAAACAAUCUUUUGUUUGGCCUCUCUAACCAUAAUAGCUAGUGAGCUGCUUGCAUAUACAAGCUUAACCCACCAGAGCAUGACUUGUAUCUUUCGUGAGCUCCUCAAAUUGCAAAUUGAUAGAUCUUUAUUCGAAUACUCUUCUUCUCUCAACUGACCCCUUUUAGAGUGGUAGGUUCUCUGACUGAUAUGGCAUAAUUGCUUAAACAUCUACCUUUGGUUUUAUUAGAACAAUGAUAGAUAGAUUAUCUGAAUGUGCUUGAUUUAAGUGAAUAGUCAUAUAUGGUGCUCAGUCAUGGGAGAAGAUUCAUGUAGUCGCCCCUCAACUGUGAGGGUCGUUGUUGUUGAAUUUGAAAGGUUGGUUUGUCAUGCAUCCAAUUGCGACUCUUUCAUCCAUGAUCUUUCCUUAUUAAACUGACCAAUCUCGCCUACUUAUCUGCAUCGACCCUAACAGUGUUUUGAAAUGCUAUAUUGCAAUCGUCAACAUUGCUUUGCACCACUCUGCUUGACCCAAAUGGCCUGCUUUGCGCCACUCGCUCUGUGCACUUUUCACUCACUUCUCUUACACUUGACACUUGGGUGAUGAGUUGAAGUUGACCUGGAUCUUUUUUCCAGGUCUGCGUAUUUUGUAUAUUUUGCAGAGCAGGCAGGACUUGUCUUUUUUUUUUUUCAGCUGGCUCGAGCUCGGUAACCUAUAGCUCUUGAUAGAGAAGCUCGUUUUGUCAUAGAUUAUUUCCAGCUUCCUCUUCUCAUUACAUAAAACUCGGAAUUUUUUUUAUCUUCAGUGUGUGUAUUAGUUUUGGAUGGAGUGGAGAGGAGAAAUAGCAAAGCUCUGUUGGCCCAUAAGCUUCGGUCUAAUUUGGAGCACUAAAAUUUACAUGUGGAGCACCAGCAUUUUGCAUUUUUUUUUUGUCCAUAGCAUUGACCAUAGUUCGACUAAAAUUAAUAAUGAGAGGGUUAUUAGUGUCUUUUAGCCCAAUGUUAAUGAUUUCUUAUUCUUUUAUCUUCCAUAGCAUUGACCAUAGUUUGACUAAAAUUAGUAAUGAGAAGGUUAUUAUUGUCUUUUAGCUCAAUGUUAAUAAUUUCUUCUUUUUUUUAAAUCUCAGAUGUUAUUAUUGAAGUGAUGAACAGGGGAGGCAACAUGAGAUUAGAAGUUGGUGUUUAGAGAGCUACUGCUGUCUCGGUGUGCUAGCUACUUACAGGAGUCAGCAUAACCACCAUAUGAAGUCUCACUUCCCAGUUCUUUCUCGGGGUCUUCGAUUCGCACGUAGUAAGAUACUACUGUCUAUGUACGAAGUAAUUGUCUUUGUACGUAAUUUCAGGUUUGGGCAGCAGAGAAGCUGUUUCGAGUCGUCGCCUCCAGCUUUUACCGCAGUGUGGAUGUCAGGUUGCUCACAAAUGUAUAUUUUAAUGCACAUAAUAAGCUUUUAUUAGUGGUUUGUUUGGA